GGGGGACGGGCACCUCCCGGGGACAGUGGGUCGGUGCGGAGAAGAGGGGACUGGGACCCAGAGACCGCAAGAAGGGGUGACACUGGCCAGGGGGCCGCGAGGAGGGAUUGAAAAUCAGACCGAGUCCGAGCACCAGGACAAACCAGGCCAAGCUUGGGGACACCGACCUCUAAUCCCAGCACUUGGGAGGCAGAGGCAGGAGGAUCACCACCAGGAUGAAGCCAGCCUGCGAUCAAGGAGAUCAAGGGCAGCCUGGACCACCAAGCAGGGCUGUCUUAAAACAAAAAGCAGGACUGGGGAAUGAACCUGGGCCUGCUUUUGGCUGGGUUUGGCUGUCCUGAAUUCUCCGGAGCCCAGGCCAUCGCUGACUGCUCGCCAUCCUCCUGCCUCGGACUCCUGACCACAGCUAAAGCAGGUGUGCACCACCGUGGCCACCACACCUGGGCGUCCUCACAGGACGGGGAGAGGCUCAGGGGCGAGGGCUCUCUGGGUGCACACACUGACACACACACACACUUGCGCAUGCACCCCAACUACACAUGAACAGUUAUUGUGGCUCUUAAUAUAUUGGCACAGCUGAGUAACAAGCA